rnacentral:rRNA from 1 species
UCGAACGGCAGCACGGGAGCAAUCCUGGUGGCGAGUGGCGAACGGGUGAGUAAAGUAUCGGAACGUGCCCAGUCGUGGGGGAUAACGUAGCGAAAGCUACGCUAAUACCGCAUACGAUCUAUGGAUGAAAGCGGGGGAUCGCAAGACCUCGCGCGAUUGGAGCGGCCGAUAUCAGAUUAGGUAGUUGGUGGGGUAAAGGCCUACCAAGCCGACGAUCUGUAGCUGGUCUGAGAGGACGACCAGCCACACUGGGACUGAGACACGGCCCAGACUCCUACGGGAGGCAGCAGUGGGGAAUAUUGGACAAUGGGCGCAAGCCUGAUCCAGCCAUGCCGCGUGUGUGAAGAAGGCCUUAUGGUUGUAAAGCACUUUAAGCGAGGAGGAGGCUACUUUAGAUAAUACCUAGAGAUAGUGGACGUUACUCGCAGAAUAAGCACCGGCUAACUCUGUGCCAGCAGCCGCGGUAAU